GAUCAUGGCUCAGGAUGAACGCUAGCGGCAGGCUUAACACAUGCAAGUCGAGGGGCAGCGCGGGGCGGCAACGUCCUGGCGGCGACCUGCGGAAGGGUGCGUAACGCGUGAGCGACAUGCCCGUUGCCCGGGGACAACCGGUGGAAACGCCGACUAAUCCCCGAUGGGACGGAGGCCCUCAUGGGUCUCUGUUGAAAGUUACGGCGGCGACGGAUUGGCUCGCGUCCGAUUAGCUUGUUGGCGGGUAACGG
rnacentral:rRNA from 1 species